AAAUAAAAAAAAUAUUGUAAAAAGUUUAAUGGAAGGUGACUGACUAGUAGCGCACGCGGCGCACAGCUGUGGGCGCACGAGCCAGUUUUGGUCUCGUGAGGUUUCUGACAGUAACGGUUAUUUUACCUCAGCUCCGCUAGUUUGUGGUCUGACAACACUUUUUGACGCCCUAUUCAUCUGGCAGCAUGUUCCCUAAAACGGCUUCAUCCCAGGGAGAGGAGGCUUGAGACGCUGACAGCGAGCACACCACACAUUUUCAAGAUCAGUUCAUGUUCACAGUUUAUUAUUGUUACAAUAAAGGUUUUUGCAUCAUCA